AGAGUUUGAUCCUGGCUCAGAACGAACGCUGGCGGCGUGCCUAACACAUGCAAGUCGAACGUGAAAGUCCUUCGGGAUGAGUAAAGUGGCGCACGGGUGAGUAACACGUGGGUAAUCUUCCUCAGAGACUGGGAUAACCUUUCGAAAGAAGGGCUAAUACCAGAUAAGACCACAGAAAUUGAGAUUUCAGAGGUCAAAGGGUGCUUAUGGUAUCGCUUUGAGAUGAGCCUGCGUCGCAUUAGCUUGUUGGUAGGGUAACGGCCUACCAAGGCUACGAUGCGUAGCUGGUCUGAGAGGACGACCAGCCACACUGGAACUGAAACACGGUCCAGACUCCUACGGGAGGCAGCAGUGGGGAAUAUUGGACAAUGGGGGAAACCCUGAUCCAGCAACGCCGCGUGGGUGAUGAAGGCCUUCGGGUCGUAAAGCCCUGUUGAGGGGGAAGAAGGCAUGAAGUAACGUUUCAUGAUGACGUACCCCUGAG
rnacentral:rRNA from 1 species